rnacentral:rRNA from 1 species
UACGUAGGUGGCAAGCGUUGUCCGGAAUUAUUGGGCGUAAAGCGCGCGCAGGUGGUUUCUUAAGUCUGAUGUGAAAGCCCACGGCUCAACCGUGGAGGGUCAUUGGAAACUGGGGAACUUGAGUGCAGAAGAGGAAAGUGGAAUUCCAAGUGUAGCGGUGAAAUGCGUAGAGAUUUGGAGGAACACCAGUGGCGAAGGCGACUUUCUGGUCUGUAACUAACACUGAGGCGCGAAAGCGUGGGGAGCGAACAGG